rnacentral:rRNA from 1 species
UAGCUAGUUGGUGAGGUAAAAGCUACACCAAGGCGACGAUCGGUAGCUGGUCUGAGAGGAUGAACAGCCACACUGGGACUGAGACACGGCCCAGACUCCUACGGGAGGCAGCAGUGGGGAAUAUUGGACAAUGGGGGGAACCCUGAUCCAGCGAUGCCGCGUGUGUGAAGAAGGCCUGCGGGUUGUAAAGCACUUUCAGUGGGGAGGAGGGCUUGUAGGUUAAGAGCUAAUGAGUUGGACGUUACCCACAGAAGAAGCACCGGCUAACUCCGUGCCAGCAGCCGCGGUAAUACGGAGGGUGCGAGCGUUAAUCGGAAUUACUGGGCGUAAAGGGUGCGUAGGCGGUUUAAUAAGUUAAGUGUGAAAGUCCUGGGCUUAACCUAGGGAAGUCAUUUAAGACUGUUAGACUAGAGUAUGGGAGAGGGUAGUGGAAUUUCCGGUGUAGCGGUGAAAUGCGUAGAGAUCGGAAGGAACAUCAGUGGCGAAGGCGGCUACCUGGCCUAAUACUGACGCUGAGGCACGAAAGCAUGGGGAGCAAACAGGAUUAGAUACCCUGGUAGUCCAUGCUGUAAACGAUGUCAACUAGCUGUUGGGUGUAUGAAUGCAUUUAGUAGCGC